AGCAUGGAAGAUAUGACAGCCAAUCCUUUUCAUUCAUUGUUUUAUCUUGUAUUUAUGCUAUCCGUUUGUGCACUUUUCUCCAAAUCCAUUGCCAAACAGAAAUGUAUGGCAUUGGAGAAUAACAUUUGAAGUUUAAUUUCUGUCAAGUUAUUGGAUUUUCAAUAGAUGUUUUUAUAAAAUUUGUGUGAGACUUAUGGACUCUUUUAUGAACAUUUUAUGGAUUGUUUAUUUAUUGUUUGAAAUUUUAGAUACGGACAUUUAUGAAGCAUGAUAUUUACUUAUUAUUAACUCGUUGUGGAAUUUUCAAUUUAAAUUAGAGUGAUUUUUUAUGUAUGAUGAGCAUUUUUUU